rnacentral:rRNA from 1 species
GUGCCAGCAGCCGCGGUAAUACGGAGGGUGCAAACGUUGCUCGGAAUCAUUGGGCGUAAAGCGCACGUAGGCGGCCGACUAAGUCGGAUGUGAAAGCCCAGGGCUCAACCCUGGAAGUGCAUUCGAAACUGACCGGCUUGAAUAUGGAAGAGGGUCGCGGAAUUCCCGGUGUAGAGGUGAAAUUCGUAGAUAUCGGGAGGAACACCAGUGGCGAAGGCGGCGACCUGGGCCAAUAUUGACGCUGAGGUGCGAAAGCGUGGGGAGCAAACAGGAUUAGAAACCCCUGUAGUCC